CCUACGGGGGGCAGCAGUGGGGAAUAUUGGACAAUGGGGGGAACCCUGAUCCAGCCAUGCCGCGUGUGUGAAGAAGGCCCUCGGGUUGUAAAGCACUUUCAGUGAGGAAGAACGCCUGGUGGUUAAUACCCAUCAGGAAAGACAUCACUCACAGAAGAAGCACCGGCUAACUCCGUGCCAGCAGCCGCGGUAAUACGGAGGGUGUGAGCGUUAAUCGGAAUUACUGGGCGUAAAGCGCGCGUAGGUGGCUUGAUAAGCCGGUUGUGAAAGCCCCGGGCUCAACCUGGGAACGGCAUCCGGAACUGUCAAGCUAGAGUGCAGGAGAGGAAGGUAGAAUUCCCGGUGUAGCGGUGAAAUGCGUAGAGAUCGGGAGGAAUACCAGUGGCGAAGGCGGCCUUCUGGACUGACACUGACACUGAGGUGCGAAAGCGUGGGUAGCAAACAGGAUUAGAUACCCCUGUAGUC
rnacentral:rRNA from 1 species